AUUUGGGGCCACACCGCGAUGAACCUUCCGCGUCCCGUCAGAUACGCGCAGACAAGCAUCGCAGGGGUAAGAGAGUAUCGGCGUGGGGGACCAGCCGAGAACACUUUACUGCUCCAGGU
rnacentral:rRNA from 1 species